GACCGUCCCAGUUCGGAUUGCAGGCUGCAACCCGCCUGCAUGAAGUUGGAAUCGCUAGUAAUCGCGGAUCAGAAUGCCGCGGUGAAUACGUUCCCGGGUCUUGUACACACCGCCCGUCACACCAUGGGAGUCGGAAAUGCCCGAAGUCUGUGACCCAACCUACGGGAGGGAGCAGCCGAAGGCAGGUCGGAUGACUGGGGUGAAGUCGUAACAAGGUACC
rnacentral:rRNA from 1 species